UAAACUUUGCCACAGGGUAAAGAUUUCAAGGUGUUCUGAAGCAUUCCGUUAGGUCUUAGGGGAUGUUUUCAGGGCACCUCUUUUUGUU
rnacentral:ncRNA from 1 species